rnacentral:rRNA from 1 species
CCUACGGGAGGCAGCAGUGAGGAAUAUUGGUCAAUGGCCGCAAGGCUGAACCAGCCAAGCCGCGUGAGGGAUGACGGUCCUAUGGAUUGUAAACCUCUUUUGUCAGGGGGCAAAGUGCGCCACGUGUGCCUCUCCGCGAGUACCUGAAGAACAAGCAUCGGCUAACUCCGUGCCAGCAGCCGCGGUAAUACGGAGGAUGCGAGCGUUAUCCGGAUUUAUUGGGUUUAAAGGGUGCGCAGGCGGAAUGUCAAGUCAGCGGUAAAAUCUCGGGGCUCAACCCCGGCGUGCCGUUGAAACUGGCGGUCUUGAGUGAGCGAGAGGUAGGCGGAAUGCGUGGUGUAGCGGUGAAAUGCAUAGA